GCCUCGGUGGUACAGUGACAUCAUGCGUCCCAGGUAUGGAUGAAACGCGAGUUCGACUCCCGUCUGAGGCC